rnacentral:rRNA from 1 species
UACGUAGGUGGCAAGCGUUAUCCGGAAUUAUUGGGCGUAAAGAGCGCGCAGGUGGUUAAUUAAGUCUGAUGUGAAAGGCUGUGGCUCAACCAUAGUAUGCUUUGGAAACUGUUCAACUUGAGUGCAGAAGGGGAGAGUGGAAUUCCAUGUGUAGCGGUGGAAUGCGUAGAUAUAUGGAGGAACACCGGUGGCGAAAGCGGCUCUCUGGUCUGUAACUGACGCUGAGGCUCGAAAGCGUGGGUAGCGAACAGG